AACGCACCUUGCGCUCUUUGGCCAUUCCGAAGAGCAUGCCUGUUUGAGUGUCAUUGAAUCCUCAAGCCCCCGCCUGGCUUCUCCCGGGCUUGGGUGCUUGGAACUGUGGGAGCCGUGCGGGUCGCUCGUCCUAUGCGAUCCGCUCUCCUCAAAGGCAUCAGCAGGGCCCAGUCGCGGUCGGCCCCACCGGCGUUGAUAGUCCAUCUACGCCCCCCCGGCCGUACCCAGCGUGGCUCAGCUUCGAACCGUCUGGCCCUCCAGCCGGACAGACCGACCCCUCCGGUCUUCACCCCUUGACACCUUUGACCUCAAAUCAGGUAGGACUACCCGCUGAACUUAA
rnacentral:misc_RNA from 1 species